CCUACGGCCGAGCCCCGCCCAGGAACGGACCCGAGCGGCCGGGCGCGGGCGGAGGUGGGGGACUUGGAGAGAAAGUGUCGCCUAGAGUAACUUCGAGCUUCGUUUUGUCGUUUGCAUGAGUCCUUACUCGCGAUUAGGUGCUCAGUAAACAUUUGAAGGAGAAAAAGAAGAAAACACAGAAGGAGUGAAGAGAGAAACCUCAAGGACAUAGAGACAAGCAAACAGCUCACUGGUUUGCUAUAAAUGGAUGUAACUCAGGAACAGCCAGAUGGAUGGGAUGCAUAAGGCGAAGUGUGGAGAAAGGGCUCAGAGUUUCCAUGCCCUCGCCAGGCACGCUUCUUUCUUCACACCUGCACGUCUUCCCCAACCCAGAAGCUCUCCAAACUGUGCCCUUUUGGGUUCGUAUGGAAGCUUCAUUGCACAGUGCUUCCUUGGGUCUGGAGUCUCUCUGAUCUAUUCUGCCUUUACCCUGCUGAGGACAGAUCACCUUGAGCAAAGUGCAACAGGACUGGUUCCAUAACUCGAGUCUUUAAAAGGAAGCACAUUCUCGGCCCUCAGUGAUCAUGCAUAAGAAGGACACAUAGAAGGUGUAGAGGAAUCUCGAGGAGGGUCAGAUGCUGUUGGAGGAACAGACGUUGGCGACUGGCCUUGUUACCACCUACUCGGCUUCCUUCUCCCUGGAGUGUGUCCUCGCCUCUUUCCUUCGCAUCCCUUCCCAAGCGUGUCCCUCUUCUCAGCUGCGUCUGGGAACACUGGCCUUUCUCUCCUGUGACAGAACUGAACAGCUCAGGCUCGUCUGCUCUCAGGCCCGAAGAAAAAUGCAGGAGUGGAAACGGAGGUUAGAAAGAGCAAGUGGGUGCUCACAGAGGAGCUGGUCAAGGAGUGGGGUGUGGAUGGAGGAGAUGGAACGGAAAAGACUGGAAUUGCCGGAAGGUCUUCAGAGAGCUGAAGGAGUAGACCCGGCUGGAGGACGACGUCACAUUCAGGGAGGAAAAGUGCGCCCAUACCGGGAAGCCACCUGAGCGCUCUGUUUGAGCGGAAGGCGUGUUUUCAGGCAAAUGGACAAGGUGAGGCAAUGAUGUCCAGGCUGCAGCUUUGGAGAGGGAGCUCUCUGAAGCCUUACGGUAUGUCCACACUGGCUUGGAAUAAAAGAAUAGAGGGGGUGCCCAAGAUGAGCCAGGAAUAGGACCAGGCACUGCAGGGUCCCUGCCUGGUCCCAGCAUUUGACUUUCUGACAACUGAAAUAGAAGCUGUGAUUCCUGUCCUCUGAAACUCUGAACGGACCAAAAGAUGGAAUUGGCCCCCAAUUUGCCUGUGUCGCGAACGAAAGCAUCAGGAUGAAAGUCAAAUUCUCGGCGGGAGGCCCGUCAUCUCUCUUCCAGCUGCACGCUGACCCAGCCCCUUCUGAUGCUGAGCUCCAUCUUGGGUUUCUAGUUCUAGCAAAAUGGAGCUUCUUCUGCGGUCCCUCCAGCUGCAAUGCCUGAGGCCUUAUUGGAUGGUAGCCUUCAUCCUUUAAGACUAAACAGAGGUGUUACUACCUGGAGGGAAACUCCGACUCUUUCUCCCUCUUAAUUCUUUGAAGCCUGACUUUAGAGGAUCUGUCCUUUCUCCUGGAGAAGGGGUUAUUACUCUGUAAAGAAAUGUGUUCUACAGAAAGGGAAAGGCAAUAAGGCUAGUUGGUAGGGAAAAAAAAGUAGUUAAAUUAUUCAGAAAAAAAGACUGUGAAAUAGGCAAACCUAAGAAAGGCAGAGCCCAACCAGGAGAGAAAGUGGCAGAACUGUGGAAUGCUUGACAUUCUUUUGAACCCUAAGAGCGAAGAUAGUCAAGAUCACAAUGGGGUCAGAACAAGUACAGGUAAGAGUUGUAUUUUGUGGGGCACCUGGGUGGCACAGUGGGUUAAGCAUCCGACUUUGGCUCAGGGCAUGAUCUCACAGUGUGAGUUCGAGACCCGCGUCGGGCUCUGUGCUGACAGCUCAGAGCCUGGAGC